rnacentral:rRNA from 1 species
CUUUAAAGUAUUUAUUUAAAGUGUAACCUGCUCAAUGAACUUUAAAUAGCCGCAAUUUUAUUGUGCUAAGGUAGCAUAAUAAUUUGUCUUUUAAUUAAGGUCUAGAAUGAAUGGUUUAACAGGAACCAUCUUUUUUAAUAAAUUAAGUUUGAAUUUGCUUUUUUAGUAAAAAAGCUGAAAUAUAGUUAUAAGACGAUAAGACCCUAUAGAAUUUAAUGUUUUUUUUAUUCUUAAAAAUAAAAGGAAACAUUUGGUUGGGGCGACUAUUAAAAAAAAUUAACUUUAAUUUUUUUUUAUCAUAAAUUAAUGAUUGUUGAUCCUAAAUUUUAGAUUAAAAGAAUAAAUUACCUUAGGGAUAACAGCGUAAUUUUCUUGGGGAGUUCUUAUUUAUAAGAAAGUUUGCGA